AUGUUGCUAGGUAUCCUGGGUGCAAGUAUGACAUACCAGACUGGCCUAAAACCACCAGGCGGCUUGUGGCAGGACAACUCCGAAGGACACUCAGCUGGCAACCCCAUCCUCCACGACAUCAACAAGCACCGGUACAAUGCUUUCUUCUACAGCAACUCCACUUCCUUCAUGGCCUCAAUCGUAGUCGUCAUCAUGCUGCUGCCAUUGACCAUCAAAAAGUAUCAUGAUCUCCAUCUGCCAUUCUGGCCGAUGCACACAGCCAUUUUAUUGGACAUGCUUAGCCUCUUAGUGGCCUACACUGCAGGCAGUACUAGGAAAUGGGAAACCUCCAGAAACGUCAUGUUCCUCAUCAUUCCUGUGUUUCUCUACAUUGCGGUCUACGUAGCAGCGUCGGUCUUCUACCACAGGAAAGACCAUGUAUUGAUAAGGUCAAACGCAACAGUAGCCCGCUUAGUGACAGAAUGA
rnacentral:rRNA from 1 species